AUUGAACGCUGGCGGCAUGCUUUACACAUGCAAGUCGAACGGCAGCGCGGGCUUCGGCCUGGCGGCGAGUGGCGAACGGGUGAGUAAUGCAUCGGAACGUGCCCAGUAGUGGGGGAUAGCCCGGCGAAAGCCGGAUUAAUACCGCAUACGACCUGAGGGUGAAAGCGGGGGACCGAAAGGCCUCGCGCUAUUGGAGCGGCCGAUGUCGGAUUAGCUAGUUGGUGGGGUAAAGGCUUACCAAGGCGACGAUCCGUAGCUGGUCUGAGAGGACGACCAGCCACACUGGGACUGAGACACGGCCCAGACUCCUACGGGAGGCAGCAGUGGGGAAUUUUGGACAAUGGGGGCAAGCCUGAUCCAGCCAUGCCGCGUGCGGGAAGAAGGCCUUCGGGUUGUAAACCGCUUUUGUUCGGGAAGAAAUCCUCUUGGUUAAUACCCCGGGGUGAUGACGGUACCGGAAGAAUAAGCACCGGCUAACUACGUG
rnacentral:rRNA from 1 species